UCCAGACUCCUACGGGAGGCAGCAGUGAGGAAUAUUGGUCAAUGGGCGCGAGCCUGAACCAGCCAAGUCGCGUGAGGGAAGACGGUCCUAUGGAUUGUAAACCUCUUUUGUCGGGGAGCAAAAGACGCCACGCGUGGCGUUCCGAGAGUACCCGAAGAAAAAGCAUCGGCUAACUCCGUGCCAGCAGCCGCGGUAAUACGGAGGAUGCGAGCGUUAUCCGGAUUUAUUGGGUUUAAAGGGUGCGUAGGCGGAAGGUUAAGUCAGCGGUAAAAUGUCGGUGCUCAACACCGGCCUGCCGUUGAAACUGGUCUUCUUGAGUGAGCGAGAAGUAUGCGGAAUGCGUGGUGUAGCGGUGAAAUGCAUAGAUAUCACGCAGAACUCCGAUUGCGAAGGCAGCAUACCGGCGCCCAACUGACGCUGAAGCACGAAAGCGUGGGUAUCGAACAGGAUUAGAUACCCUCGUAC
rnacentral:rRNA from 1 species